rnacentral:rRNA from 1 species
GACGAACGCUGGCGGCGUGCUUAACACAUGCAAGUCGAACGCUGAAGCUCAGCUUUUGUUGGGUGGAUGAGUGGCGAACGGGCGAGUAACACGUGAGUAACCUGCCCCCUUCUUUGGGAUAACGCCCGGAAACGGGUGCUAAUACUGGAUAUUCACUGGUCUUCGCAUGGGGGUUGGUGGAAAGGGUUUUUCUGGUGGGGGAUGGGCUCGCGGCCUAUCAGCUUGUUGGUGGGGUGAUGGCCUACCAAGGCCUUGACGGGUAGCCGGCCUGAGAGGGUGACCGGUCACAUUGGGACUGAGAUACGGCCCAGACUCCUACGGGAGGCAGCAGUGGGGAAUAUUGCACAAUGGGCGCAAGCCUGAUGCAGCGACGCCGCGUGAGGGAUGGAGGCCUUCGGGUUGUGAACCUCUUUCGCUCAUGGUCAAGCCGCAACAAUGGUUGUGGUGAGGGUAGUGGGUAAAGAAGCGCCGGCUAACUACGUG